rnacentral:rRNA from 1 species
CUAAGGUAUGCAAGUCGAACGGUUGGACUUUUCAACGCAAGGCGAGAAGUUUGACAGUGGCAGACGGCUGAGUAACACGUGGGAAUCUUCCCUAAACUCUGGUAUAGCCCAUCGAAAGGUGGGGUAAUCCCAGAUAGUCUCGCAAGAGUAAAGCUCCGGCGGUUUAGGAUGAGCCCGCGGCCUAUCAGGUUGUUGGCGGGGUAAAUGCCCACCAAGCCUAUGACGGGUAGCUGGUCUGAGAGGAUGAUCAGCCAGACUGGGACUGUGACACGGCCCAGACUCCUACGGGAGGCAGCAACUAGGAAUCAUGCGCAAUGGACGAAAGUCUGACGCUGCGACGUCGCGUGGAGGAUGAAGAUCUUCGGAUUGUAAACUCCUUUUAUUGGGGAACAAGAUCUGAGUGUACCCAAUGAAUAAGUGCCUGCCAACCACGUGCCAGAAGCAUCGGUAAUACGUGGGGCACAAGCGUUAUCCGGAUUUACUGGGCGUAAAGAGAUGCGUAGGCGUCUUGACAAGUUUUGUGUUAAAUCUUCCCGCUCAACGGGAAAACUGCAUGAAAAACUGUCAAGAUUGAGUAAGGUAGGGAAGAAGGGAAUUCCUGGUGGAGCGGUUAAAUGCGUUGAUAUCAGGAGGAAUACCAAUGGCGAAGGCACUUCUUUGGACCUUUACUGACGCUAAGGCUCGAAAGCGUGGGGAGCAAAACGGACUAGAUACCCGUGUAGUCCACGCUGUAAACAAUCCUCGUUAGAUGUUUGCUUUUGAUUUUUAUUUUUGACUUCGGUCAAAGGUUUAAAGUCUUAGUGGAUGUCGCAGCUAACGCGUUAAACGAGGCGCCUGGGAAGUACGGCCGCAAGGCUAAAACUCAAAGGAAUUGACGGGGACCGCACAAGCAGUGGAGCGCCUGGUUUAAUUCGAUGAUCAGCGAAGAACCUCACCUGGGCUUGAACUGUAGCUGCACGCUCGAAGAAACUGGAGAGGCUUGCGAAGGUGCUACAGAGGUGCUGCACGGCUGUCGUCAGCUCGUGUCGUGAGAUGUAGGGUUAAGUCCCACAACGAGCGCAACCCCUAUCCGAUGUUAAAAUUACUUCGGAGACUGCCUUGCCGAAACGAGGAGGAAGGUGGGGAUGACGUCCAGUCAGCAUGUCCCUUAUGUCCAGGGCUACACAGACGCUACAAUGGCUAUUACAAUGGGCUGCCAAACCGCGAGGUGGAGCUAAUCCCAUCAAAAAUAGUCUCAGUUCGGAUUGUAGGCUGCAACUCGCCUACAUGAAGUUGGAAUUGCUAGUAAUCGCGUAUCAGCAUGGCGCGGUGAAUACGUUCUCGGGUCUUGUACACACCGCCCGUCAGGGCAUGGGAGUUACUCAUACUCGAAGUCCCAUUUAUGGGCCGAAAGUUAUGGGUGGCGACUGGGCUU